rnacentral:lncRNA from 1 species
AGGGCCACAUGUGGGGCAUAGGGAAGUUCCCAGGGUAGGGGUUGAAUCAGAGCUUCAGUUGCCAGCCUACAACACAGCCAUGGCACCUCGGGAUUCAAGCCAAGUCUUCGACCCACACCACAGCUCACGGCAAUGCCGGAUCCUUAACCCACUGGACAAGGCCAGGGUUCGAACCCACAUCCUCAUGGAUACUAGUCGGGUUUGUUAUCGCUGAGCCACAACGGGAAUCCCAUUUUUCUUAUUUUUAAGUGGGGAUAACAAUGACCCUUGUCUCCACAGCAUCAUUGUAUGAACUUGAUCACGGGAGGGGGGGGCAUUUUCGUCCUUCCUCCAAAGCACGUGCCCAGCUGAGAUCAGCAGCCACAGACCAGCUUCCGAAGGCGUGGGGUUGACCACGGUCGGCCCCACCACUACAAACCUCUCCCUGUCUACAGAGUUUGGCUUAUGGUUUGCACAUUAAAUAAAACACAGAAGAUAUAACCUCCCCUCUCUGAACACACAGUACUUGGUACUGCAGGGCAGGGAGCAUCUUGGCCACAGAGGCUUCUCAGAAAAAAAUGUUAGUUGCCACAGGGGCAGUGCCAGGACUCAGCCGUGAGAAGCCACCAGCCAGGCCAUGGGUUAGCAGUGUCUUCAGAAGACACUUAAGGUUGAUCUGAAUCAGAAAACUGGGUCAUGCCUGAGCUUCUCUUAUCAGCCUGGUUUUCUUUAGGAGCAAAAACCACCCCAUUUCAAAUGCCUGAACAGCCUCAGAAAGUCAAAACCAACCAGGCUUUUGCACGGAAACAUGAACCAGACCAAGGGCUCCCCUGGAGGUGACUCAGAGAAGCGCCCACCUGCAUCCCCUGCUGAGUCCCCUGCAGAGGUACACGUCCCACCAAGCCAGGCAAGAGGUCGUGGUGGCUUCGCAGCUGCGUUGCUCGGCUGGUAUCAGCGUUCAUUUGUGCAGGCUUCGUUUCCAGAGCUGCAGCGUGCACACCCUGGGGUGUGCCCGGGGGGAUCUAUGCGGCUGCUCUAAAGCCCCCAGCCCCCGCCAUGUCCCCUGGGACACCCACCAUGCCGCCCUCUGGUUCUAGGACGGCGGGGCCAGGCCGGGAGGAGAAGCAAAGUCAAGGCAGAGACGGGAGCUGGAAGACAAGCACGUGGAAUGAGGCCUCCCUCUCCCGCGUUCGAAGCCAAUUUCCCACCUGGCCACACGAGGACAUUUAAUUACUGCUGUGCUCGUCACCUCCUGCAAGUCAUUCAUAAUGACCCUCUGUAAAUACCGGCCCAUCUCACAGCCAGAAGCCACCGGCCACCCCCUCCUGCCCCACCACGGCCGCCCACCGGCUCCCGCGGGCCUUCCUGCAGGUUUCAAUCCUGGAGACGGACCCUAGAGGCAACCCGGUUGAAUUCACCUUUCAAAUGAGAUUUCUGGAUGCAUCCAUUUCAUUUCCGUCGCCCCCUAAUGCUGUGGAGGGUUUUUUUUUUUUUAAUUCUAUUAAAAAAUGCAAUUAAAUUUGUCUCAUGGAAUUUGCUCUUUAAAAAUCCGGACAGCUGCUUGCUCGUGGCAGCAUCAUGCCCUUGACUCCUUCGCAUGGCUUUUCUUCAUCUCCGUUCAGUUAUUUCACUGAGGAUUAAAGAUGGGCUCACCAGAUGGCAAAUGCCAGGAUCUCUUCCCCCCCACCCCCCGACUCAGAACAGUAUCCUGUCGGCCGGGAUGCACAGCCCAGGCCCCUCUGUGCAGCUCUCCGGACAAACAAUUGUUCCUUUUAAAUUCGCUCAACUCCAAAGAACAAUGAAGACACAGCUCAAGAACAGAAAGCUGAGCACACAGCUCUGGGAACAUUGCGGAGCCCCGCCCCGCAGGCCCCGCCCCACAGGCCCUUCCUCUCUGCAUCUUUCUUGCUUCCUUUGGGCCAGGAAGCCCAUGAGGUCGUGUCUGCGGCGAGAUGGUGGGUGUUUCCAAAGAAAGACUCCGUAGACACAGCAUUCUGCUUGCCGACAGUCAGGGAUGCGGGGGAUUUGGCCUGGCUGGCUUUAUAAACUACCGACGGGCCUGCUCCUUGCAAAACACUAUUUUUAUCAGUUAAUUACACAGUUUUCUUAUUAAAUAACAACGGGAACACAUUUCUCGUGUGUUUUCUUGUCGCGAUUAAUUGAACCUGCCGCCCUGCACAAAAAGUCCGGUUCUCAUCUCCGCUGCCGGACGAGGCACAGCCCUUGACAGUUCAGCUCCUUCUAUGAACAGGAACGCGUUCCACUGCCAGGCCGGUCCUUUCCCCGAAUCCCCGAAAUGAGUUCCUUCCCUCACAAGAACACGUCUCUGGGUCUAAGACCAACGUCUGCAGAACAGACGUCGCCCUGGAAAUGACUUUCCUGCUGCGGUUCUGCCUGUGCCUGCGGGCACGUGGUCAGGUGCAGCGCAGAGCCCGAGCAGCCCGGUCGGUCACACUUGGGGAGGAGACGCGACGUGGGGAGAGAGGCCUUGUCGUGCUCAUUUUUCAAACAGGCCCACGUGCGAUGUGACUGGGCUGGGGGUGGAGCAGGAAGGGAAAGGCCAAAGCCAGUGACAGUCACUGCGGCCUGGGCUUUUCUAUUGCUGUUGGUUAUUCUAAUUGAUAAUCACUUUAAAACUAGUUUUAUUAUGUGCUUAACCCUUGACCUAGAAAGGGGACCCAAGUCAGGCCCUCAUGUUAUUGCUCCAACCCACAGAGAAAGACUAGAAGGCCAACAAGAAAAGCCACAAUUUUUGAGGCCAAGUAGUUAACCACAGCAAUUACAGAAACGGUCCCGAGAAAAGGAAGUUCAGGUGUUUUCUCAAUAUAUUCCUUGUGGUGGGCGGGCAGCCUCUAAGAGAGCUGCCUCGGGAUCCCCCCUCCUGAUAGUCAGUCCUCCUGUGCUCCCUCCCUCUUGAGUGUGGGCUCAACUUACUGAUCAGCUUCUAAUGAAGAAAACGCUGCAGAAACAGGAGCUGUCACUCCCAAGACUGGGUUACCCAUAGCCUGAGGCCUCUUCCUUGGGGGGCCCCUCACUUGCUCGUUGACCGUAAGGAAAGCCGGCCCUCUGAUGAAAACCAGGCCACAAGAUCCUGAGAGGGAGGUAGAGAAAACCAGGGGCCCCGCGUCUUACAGUCCAGGAGCCGCAGAACCCUCCCAGCAACCACAGCGGGGAGCUUGGAAGCAGGUGCCCCCAGCCCAGAUCGACUGCUUCCCUGUCUUUUACUCAUGAAAUUAUUAAUCAACCAAAACCCUUUUUCCCUGCCAGAUAUGAUCUUAAAAACUUUGCAGCACCCCCCUCCCCGACGCCAUCCCCAAUGCACGGGGUUGGCAACGGAGGGAAAAGCUAGUCACCGCCCCCUGAGCCAAGGGCAGACUCAGAGUCAGCGGGCCUGAGGUCUACUCGCAAAAGCCCAGAGACUUUGGGGAAGCGUUUACCCUCUUUGAACGUCGUCUUCAUCUUCCGUAAAAUGGAGACGGUCUCUUUGGACGCUCUGCGGUAUAAGCAACAGAACUCGACAAAAACAGUCUUCGGAGGACUCCUCGUCUUCCCAGGCACCCUCCUCAGGGGCUGGGCUCUGCUCUUUUGGCCACAAGCUGGUUCCAGCAGCACCACGUCCUCCUCAGGGAGGCUCCCCAGCAUGAAACGGAAGCGCUCUUAUCUCCAGGUCUGUAAUUGAGGAAAGAUGCCCCACCCAGUCCCCAGCAGAAUUCCCCAGCGCCCUCUUUGCCAGACUUGGCUUUCAUGCCUCAUCCUUAAGGAACGGAUGGCCGAGGGCACUGAGGCGACCGUGACCUGCUAAGACCGCCCCUUUUCACCCCUGGUGUUGGAAGACACCCAGCCUGUCCCGAAGCAUCUGGUCCUCCGGAGAGGAGCUGGCAGAUGCUGAGCUCCUGUAGACAAGAACAGGGGAGGCUGCUGUUGGGUGCGCAUUCGUCCCUGUGGGUGGGCCAGGUCCUGUUGGAUGUGACACACGUGGCACUCAUGCCUUGCUUGCGCUGCGGGCCCGUGCAGGUCAGUGAGGGCGGGGCUCGAGGUGGGCCCACGGCAGGGGCCUUGGCACGGGCUGCAGCAGCAGAGGAAGCCCCGAGGCCUUUCCUUCUUUGUCAAGUUCACUCACACAUCUUUGUCCAGAGCAAAUGAGGGCCCCGCGUCACCUCACGGGGGCUGGAAAGUGCCAGCUUCCAUGGACCCGGAGAAAGACAAUGGAACAGGAGUGGUUUUCUCCAACCCCAGUAAGCAAACACCUCGGAUGGCAGUGAAGCCUCAUCUCCUCAUUAGGUUUAUCGAGGUUCAAAUGAGAUCGUGUGUUUAUUCGUUUCUCAUUCAUGAAACACCUAAUAUGAUUUCCCAGGCACUGGCCUGGGGCAGCUCGGCAAGACACAGUCACGGCCCCUCCCAGAUGUGACCCCUGAGAAGGGGACGAAGUGGCUCCGGGUCCUUCCAAGCUGGCUCGCCUUUCCUUCCCCUUCCAGGUCUAGCGUGCUUCUCUCGCGUGCCUGUCCUCCUGCGGUUGGUCUUAACUUUGUCUUCCUCUUGUUGGUGUCAAGUCCUCGCAGGGCCCUCAGGAGGCUAUGUUGCGAAAGGGGACUGGUCCGGAGUGGCUCGGUGUCCAGGGGUGGCAGUGACAGCGGCGGGGACGACGCUGAGCCCAUAUUCACAGACACCGUCUUUCCUUGAUCUCGCUCAGCCCACCGAGAGGGAGAAGAUGGGUUUGAUCUGGCUCCUUUCCAAAUUCCUUUCCCAUGGCUUGGCUGCCUCAUGGGAAACGAGAUUCCUGCUCGAGUCAAUUCUAAGCGCUCAUCCACCUCCCCCUUUAACCAGCACCGUUAUUGCUGGUUUCGCACCUCUUGCAAGUGUCAGCUUCUUAAAGAAGGCGUCAUGAUACCGUUUGAGUUGACCAGCCUACGGUUACAGAGAGGCCCCCAAACUUCAGUGGCUUCAGGCAAACUACCAGCUGGGUCACCCGCUCAGUUCAGGUCUGCAGGGUUCUCCACCUGACCAACAGAGGCUCAGCCUGAUGGCGGUUGUGCACUUUCAACCGUGUCUGCCAGAGCUGCCCUGGCCAUUGGCAGCUCCACCAACUCGAGAAGAAAGCUCGUGGAUGGAGCUCGGAGGAGGUUUUCUGGGGGCUGGGUUUAGAAACCAUCUGUCACUUCUGCCCACAUAGCACUGCGGAGAGCGCAGCCACGUGACUGCCCCCAACAGCAAGGGAGGCUGGGCAACAUCACUUAAUGUGUCCCCAGGAAGGAAAGAGAACAGAUUUUGGUGGCUAGCCAGCACUCUCGCCCACACUCACCCACACGACUUCCUGUUUUUUAAUUUGGCAAAAGCUGAGAUCACAGAGUGUUUCUAUCCAGCAAUGUCCUUUUGUCCUGACAAGGCCAUGCUCUUUCUGGGAGGAGAGGUUCUCCAGGCUCAUGAUGCAGGCAGUGGACAGAGGCCACUGCCCACCUUCCCUAGAGCACAGCUUCGCCUACUGUCUUGAUCAAGUCCUCCAGUUCCAGACAGAUCACCUUGAGACCUUCCCAGCAGAGAGAGAGACCAGAGGAUGCUUCCCAGGUAAGAACCACCCUUUUCCAGCGGUCACCAAAGGAGAAAGACUGAUGUGAAACACACGUCAUCAGCCGCAAGACUGGGGGAGGGUCUUCUCCAAGAACCACUCUUCACUCACUCACUGAACAAGCAUCUGCUGAACUUGUGUGGACCAGGCCCUAUGCUAUAGACAUGGGCAGUGCACGGAUGGACCAGACUGGACUUCAGAGUCUAGAUUUAUAAAAGAAAGCACAUAGGAAUAUAUGUCUAUAUCUCACGAUAAGCAAUUAUCAAAGAAGAAGGCGGCCGAGGCAGGUAAUUACAGCAGAGGUGGGAGGGGUGGCUAAGCUAAGACCUGAAGGUCAGGGUGUUAGUCGUGCAAAGAGAGUGGAGGAGGGGCAAGCCCUCCAAGGAGAGGGAGCAGCACAUCAAAGGCCAGGGAGAAGGAAGGCGCCUGGCAUGACUGAGGAAGAGAAAUGUGGCUGGUGUGGCUGCAGAUGGUGAAGGAAAAGACGGUGAGAGACGAGACUGGAAGAGCGCAGGCUCAGGUCGUGAAGAGUUUGGUAGGUCACGACGAGGAACUGGAAUUAAUCCAAAUAAACUGGGAAAAGCCAGCGGGGGCUUUAUGAAGUAGAGGACAUGAACGCAUCCGUCUGCUCGGGCAGCCACAGCAGAGGACCAUGGCCGAGUGGCUUAAAUAACACAGAUGCAUGGUCUCACGUUGUCCGAGGAGGCUAGAAACCUGAGAUCCCGGAGUCCGUAGGCGUGGUUCCUUCCAAAGCCGGGAAGGAAACCUGUUUCAUGCCUCCCCCAGCUUCCGUGUUUGCUGGCGAUCCCUGGCACCUCUUCUAGACGGCAUUGCCCUCGUGUCUCCACAUCACCUUCCCUCUGAGCAUUUCUCCUCCUCCUCCACGUGGCAUCACUUCCAAUGGGGUCCCGGUCGUAGUGGAUAGGCACCCACCUGCUCCACACGGCCUCAUCUCAACGACUCUCUUUCCAAACCAGGUCACUGCAUCCUGAGGCACCGUGAAUGGGGGCGGGGCAGCUCCCCCCGAAACACACACUUUGUAAGGUUCCUCUCUGCUCGGUGUGAACGGGGAGAGCAGGCAGUCUGAGCAGAGGUGGACAGGCCGGUGGGAAGGGGGAUGUCACUGCUGUCAAGGUGAAGGUCGAUGUGUACCUGGCCGAGGAGUCCAAGGGGAUGCAGCCUAUAUUUUGUUGCUCAAACCAGCACGACCGCUGGUGGAUUGUAUCUUGCUGGUGAGGGAAAGGGGUGAAUCGAGGAUAACUGUAAGUUUCUGGCUUGAGCCGGAAGAAAGAUGGUGAUGAAAUUUAUGAGAUGAGGAGGAAUUGGGGAUUAGAGACACAUUUUGGGAUAGAGCCCCGUGGUUUUAUUUUGGAUAUGUUAAGUUUGAGGCGUGCACGAACCAUCCAAGUAGAGAGACCAAGUAGGCCGUGGCAUAUAAGAAUCGGGAGUACGAAGAAGUCUGCUGCAGAUAUCGACGUGGAGGCAUCAGCAUACAGCAGCUUUACAAUGGCUGGGAAUGGGAGCGGUGGGGGGUGUCCUCCUCCCUGCUCGUCCUGUUCCCCAGCCGGCCCCGCUGCACCCGUGCCUUAUGCUGGCAUCUCCACGGAGCAGCCCAGGGGUCAGGGAUGUUCUGAAGUGCAGGCGCAGAGGCUCCGUCACCCUUCCUCAAGGGAGGCGGAGUGCUGGGGCCCUGACUGUCUAGUGAGCCCCCGUGACAGGCCACACUGGGCUCUGCCCGGAUCCACAGCCCUUGGUUUCUGGAGAAGAUGGAGACGGAGCUCUCCCAGGUUUGUAUCCAGCACAGACCGUCCGCACCCGAGGCACCCACGCAGCCCAAGGUGCAUGGCCACUAAGUCCUCCCAACACGGGUGAGCACGCGUCCACACAGCGCGUCCCUUCCCCAGAAAUGACCUAAACUUUGUGAGGUUCACGUGUCCCUGGCGAUGAUCUCAUUUGCCUGCUUCAAAAGCGCUUUGGUCUGCACAGCCUGUAGCAGCAAAUUUACACUUCAAAAAGCAGAGUUUUUUCCACACCGUAUUCACGUAAUGGGUGAGAAUGUAAAAUUCGUUCCGUUGCUGAUGAGGUCCUUGAGCCAAAUGAGAGGUGUUCAUUUGUCAGCACAGACGCACAGCCCGAGACGCGGUUAGGUAGCUAAUCCAAUAAUGGGUCUUGAUGCUGCGCAUUUAUUUAUACACAGUGUGUCUUGUUAUCUGUUGAUAAUCAGGACCCACAAUUUACUCUUUCUU